AUGAUUGAGGUAGACUGCAUGGAGCUUGUCGACCUUUGGAAUUCGCGCAGCAACACGCGAUCGGUUGCCGCGCCUAUCUUGAAGAAUUUGGAGGAGUUAGUAGCUAGUUUUGUUUCGUUUUCGGUUACACAUGUUGGGAGAGCCUGUAAUAUUCACGUUGAUCGGUGUGCUAAGCUAGCUUGUACACUAGAUGAGACUGAUAGUUGGAUCUCUGCGAGUCCAGAUUUCCUAGUAGACUGCCUUCGAGCAGAUUGUAACCGCUUGAUUCUGAAGUAA
rnacentral:rRNA from 1 species